CAGCCGCCACGGUAAUACGAAGGGUGCAAGCGUUAAUUGGAAUUACUGGGCGUAAAGCGUGCGUAGGCGGUUUGUUAAGUCUGCUGUGAAAUCCCCGGGCUCAACCUGGGAAUGGUAGUGGAUACUGGCAAGCUAGAGUGUGUCAGAGGAUGGUGGAAUUCCCGGUGUAGCGGUGAAAUGCGUAGAGAUCGGGAGGAACAUCAGUGGCGAAGGCGGCCAUCUGGGACAACACUGACGCUGAGGCACGAAAGCGUGGGGAGCAAACAGGAUUAGAUACCCCUGUAGUCCCUGUCUCUUAUAA
rnacentral:rRNA from 1 species